GAUGACUCUCGGCAACGGAUAUCUAGGCUCUCGCAUCGAUGAAGAACGUAGCGAAAUGCGAUACUUGGUGUGAAUUGCAGAAUCCCGUGAACCAUCGAGUCUUUGAACGCAAGUUGCGCCCGAGACCCGUCGGGUCGAGGGCACGCCUGCCUGGGCGUCACGC
rnacentral:rRNA from 1 species